rnacentral:snoRNA from 2 species
UUGUGAUGAAACAUAAACUGAAAUAGCUGGAAUUACCGUCAGAUUGUUCAGUGGUGAUCAUAAGGUUUUCUGAAC